UUACUUAUCUUAAUUUGUAUUAUUCUAGAAUCAGAAUGUAAUUUUUCAUGCAACCGUGUCUUGUAAUAUUAAAAUGGAAAAAUGUGUAUCUGAAUCAGUUAAGAAGUGAGUUUUGUAUCAAACUUACUCGUAAAAUAAAAAAAUAAACGGGAAGCCAUUAAAUCUGUUGGGCAGUUUAACUGCAUUAUUCAUUUAGGCUUCAAACCUGGUGAUUGACCCAAUCAGAUUAACAUAGAAGAUAACAAAUAAUAACGAUGCAACUGUCUGCUUUAUUUGUUGUUAUAAUGGCCCUGUUUGCACUUGUUGUCGGUCAAAGUGAAAACGACCGAAGAAUUAAGCUGAAGCACAUCAAGAAAGGAGGUAAAGUUUUUAAACAUGGAGUCGAUGCAGUCAACGCGGCAGGGACUCUUGUUGAUCUAUACGAUCGAGUUACUGGCAACAAUGAUCGUAGAGUACUCUACCCUAUGUUUACCGACGUGUACGUAGCGUAUCCUUCAUACCCGCAUAGAACGCAGCGUAAUCAAAAACAAUUGAAUUCAGGUAAAAAGUACGAUUUUUAUGAAUAUGAUGCAGAAUAAUAUAAUUGUAUAUGUAUUUUAAUUCAGAUGUAUGCAUUCGGCAGUUAUCUAAUAAAGCAUAAACAAAAAA